UUGGCGGUUGAUGUUUGUUGCAGUUACUCGAAAAAUUUAUCACCAUCUCCGAUACUAAUGGUGGCACAAAUGAUGUUUCCAAGACCUAUUUAAUCAAGCAGAACCAUGCUCGAGAAUGAAAACAUCGAAUUGUCUGGAAAUGAUGCUGCAGCAGUUCCGGUGUGUUGGCCAUUCUGCUCGAGCAGCUCGGAUUUUUUUAAACUCAGGACAAACGGCCGAAGGGUACAUACAACUAAUCCCACACAAGGAGUCCAUUGCCCGGAAUGAUAGUGGAUUGGAUUCUGUUUAUUUUUUUUUAAGUUUAAAUUUUGUUUUUGUGUUGUUUUUAUUUUAACCUUAAAAUAAAGAAAACUUUAAAACUUUUCA